AUACGUAGGGAGCGAGCGUUGUCCGGAAUUACUGGGUGUAAAGGGAGCGUAGGCGGGAUGGCAAGUCAGAUGUGAAAACUAUGGGCUCAACCCAUAGCCUGCAUUUGAAACUGUUGUUCUUGAGUGAAGUAGAGGUAAGCGGAAUUCCUGGUGUAGCGGUGAAAUGCGUAGAUAUCAGGAGGAACAUCGGUGGCGAAGGCGGCUUACUGGGCUUUUACUGACGCUGAGGCUCGAAAGCGUGGGGAGCAAACAGGAUUAGAUACCCUGGUAGUCCACGCUGUAAACGAUGAUUACUAGGUGUGGGGGGACUGACCCCUUCCGUGCCGCAGUUAACACAAUAAGUAAUCCACCUGGGGAGUACGGCCGCAAGGUUGAAACUCAAAUGAAUUGACGGGG
rnacentral:rRNA from 1 species